rnacentral:rRNA from 1 species
UACGGGGGGGGCAAGCGUUGUUCGGAAUUACUGGGCGUAAAGAGCUCGUAGGCGGCCAACUAAGUCGGACGUGAAAUCCCUCGGCUUAACCGGGGAACUGCUUCCGAUACUGGAUGGCUUGAGUGUGGGAGAGGGAUGCGGAAUUCCAGGUGUAGCGGUGAAAUGCGCAGAUAUCAGGAGGAACACCGGUGGCGAAGGCGGGUCUCUGGGCAGUAACUGACGCUGAGGAGCGAAAGCAUGGGGAGCGAACAGG